AGGGAGAAAUCGGUGGCGCCUGUCAAUCGCGACCUGAUUCCCCAGCCCUUGCAGAAAGGGGAGGUGAAGGCGACGAAAACCCUCGCGCGCGGCUUUCUCCUCCCUUCGCCGACGCGAUCGUCGCUGGCGGUCUCCUCUCCUCCUCCGCCGUCGACGACCGGAUCCUCGACGGAUUUAGCAAGGAAUUCUUCUGAGCAAUUGGCAUCCUAAAACUUUGGUGCUGUCAGACAGCUGUGACUUAGUGUUGGCGUAUUGCAGAAACGUGGAGUUUGAUUUCAGUCUACUCUUUGUUCACUGUUUCUGUGUCAUCUGAAGUUCAACUUAGUGCUGCCUGAACUGCUGUGAAGCUAAUCUUGAUGGCAUAUCAGUUGCAACAAAAGCAAAACAAGGUGCUAAGAGAUAAAGUUACCCGUGCAAGACUUCCCAUGUUACGCGGUUACGCCACAUCCUGCAAGGGUCUUGAGGCAGUAAUCGACCAGCUGAGGUGAACCGACUGGAUGGGAUAUGGCUGCCUUAAGGGUUCGCAUCGCCACCCACCUUGUCCUAUCAACAGCUCGAAGAACUUUUAGAGCAAUGUCUGUAGCUCUCUUUAUUUCCUCCUCAUCCCAUGUGUCUUGAACAUGGGCAUGUGAUUGUUCUUUUUUAUGCAUUGACCCAUAGUGGAUAUGCACCCUCUUGCUGGUGGCAAGCCCCAGCACAUAGAGGAAAAGUUCACGAAUUGUGGUUAGAGGGCGAUUUGAAAGGGAUUGGUAGAAUGAAA